UUCUGUACUGUGGCACAAACGGUCAGUGUCUGGUUGUUAGCCAGAAGGUUGGUGGUUUGAGCCCACCCAGGGAAG